UAGGGAAUCUUCGGCAAUGGACGAAAGUCUGACCGAGCAACGCCGCGUGAGUGAAGAAGGUUUUCGGAUCGUAAAACUCUGUUGUUAGAGAAGAACAAGGACGUUAGUAACUGAACGUCCCCUGACGGUAUCUAACCAGAAAGCCACGGCUAACUACGUGCCAGCAGCCGCGGUAAUACGUAGGUGGCAAGCGUUGUCCGGAUUUAUUGGGCGUAAAGCGAGCGCAGGCGGUUUCUUAAGUCUGAUGUGAAAGCCCCCGGCUCAACCGGGGAGGGUCAUUGGAAACUGGGAGACUUGAGUGCAGAAGAGGAGAGUGGAAUUCCAUGUGUAGCGGUGAAAUGAGUAGAUAUAUGGAGGAACACCAGUGGCGAAGGCGGCUAGCUGGUAUGUAACAGACGCUGAGGCUAGAAAGCGUGGGGAGCGAACAGG
rnacentral:rRNA from 1 species